rnacentral:lncRNA from 1 species
GACCACAUAGUAACGCAAAAACGACCAGACAAACUCACAUGAAUAAUGAUUUUAAUCGCAGAGAAACGGUUCUAUCAUUUCAUCGCAUUCAAGUCUUAUGAUAUUCACAUGAACCGGGACCUUCUUGUUGUGAUCAAUAAAUGUUACACGCCAAUUUUUUUAAUCAAUUUGGAGGAGUUUCGUUAUACACAUGUGACAUGUCAUGUAAUCUUGUUUUAUGAAAUUUAUUUGAAAGACAAAAAAAACUAGUAGCGGAUGAGAUGUAAUGGGUCUACCACUCGCUAAUAACAUUUUUCUUCUUUUUCGAUUUGACAUAUAUAUUCUUUUAAAAUUAGUAAUAAUUAAUUUGAUUGGUGUAUUUCAUUUUAAAAUGAUUCCUUAUAUUGACAUAACACAAAACGUGUAAAAUUAUUAUAUCUAACCCCAUCUUAAUCUUUUGUGCGUAUAUUAAAUUAACCUAUAACUUAAGUUAGGCAAAUACCAAAAGCAGUAUAACGUUCUCCAAAAAAGCAAAUACCAAAUCAGUAUAACUUUAAAAAAAAAAAAACAUUUCGAACAAUAUAUAUCUUUUUCUUAGUGCAUGGAGUACGCGUUUACACUUGGAGAUGUCCCUACAGGCUCCUCCUUCACAGCACACCAAGUAGCAAUCUUAUCACAUUUUUUUUAUAAAUUAAGAUUAUAAUUUUAUUUAGUGUUAAUUUUCUCAGUAACCAAUUUUGUGUUUUUGUGUUAUGGGCCAGCUUUAUAAUCAGAAAUAUAUAAACAACUCUACUGGUCAGCUUUUAAUUUUUAUUUAACUUUUGUUACACCAUUACCUUUAAAUUUUGAAGUAAAAAAUUAAGGAAAACAUAAACUUUUACAAAAAAAUAGUUUUAAAUCUGUAAGUGAAAAAACCUUCUCCCACCAAGUAUAAUGAAAAAGAGAAUCUACGUUUUUAUCACACAUAUACGAGAUUAUUCUAAAUUUUUGAAAAUUUAAAAUAAAGGUAAGGAAAAAAAGGAAAAAUAAUCAAAGUGGCCUUAGCUCAGCACUUACACUUUACUUCAUUCUGUCUUUUGACUCUUUUUCUCUCUCAUUCACAAGUCACACCACCGCUUUAUCGAAAAAAGGCGUUCGUCACCUUUUGCGUUUUUCUACUUUCAUCCGGAAAUGGCGGAUUGGGCUCCGGUUCUCGUCGGAGUUGUACUGUUCGUAUUGCUCUCUCCCGGUCUCCUCUUCUCGUUGCCUGGUCAUCACCGGACGCUAGAUUUCGGCGGAAUGAAAACCAACGGAAAAGCAAUCGCCGUCCACACACUCAUCUUCUUCGCUGCUUACACGAUCUUGAUCCUCGCUGUCAAUCUCCACAUCACCACCGGCUGAUUUAGGUUUUCCGGCGAAAUAAAGGUAACCCCCUUAUUGGAUCUGGGGGAGUUUCAAGAAUCUUCUUAGAUUUGGAUCUCUGUUUUUUUUAGAGCUUUUACUUUUUACUUACGGACAUAAACUUGUUGUGUUGUACUGACAGGAAAUGUAUUAUGUUAUUUAUCGUUAAGGUUGUAACAUUGCGAUAAAGAUGAAUGAAAAUUGAACCUUUUUGGAUCCGUACGAGUAAAGAAUCAGAGAUUAAUGAAAAUAAAUUGUGGAAACAAGCA